CUGUCUCAGUUUAAAACCAUUCCCCCUUGUCCUAUCUCUGUAAGUGUAUUUCUUUUUCUUUCAGAGAAAUUGAAGUACUUUGCCGACAAAAGAGCCUUGGAUAUUUAUGGCAGGUGAACUGUGAGAGCUUUGUGGCUAAUUGCAUCCAUUCACGCUAACAAAACCCUCCCAGGUUCUCAAUUGCAGUCUUCACCCAGAGCAAGAUUUUGCUGGGCCCUUGAGCAGCUGUUUCCUACUGAGCCUGUGGUCACAGGCAUGAAGCCAUCUGGUGCUGAUCCUCCCGAGAUGCAAUCCUUCGCUCUGGCACCACCGCAGUGCACACUCAUGGCCAUAAGCCUGUUUUCAAAUCAUCUUCAGAUUAAAGUUGAAGGAAGUAAUCUAAGGAAAAACAGAUUACUUUGAAAGUAAUGGGUUCUCUUGCCUCCAAUUUCCUCCAAGUCUACACGUAAAGCUGUUUCUUGAGUUUAGUCUGAAGCUGUUUGAUAGGGGGGGAAAAAAAAGUGAUGUUCUGGGAAUCCGGUGUUGGUGCUGAAAAUGCAAGUUUUUUGAGCAUUCUGGUUUUAUAUCUGUAUCGUAUUCCACCUGCAUCACCAGCUGCUGCUUUUCUCUCUGGUGCCCUAUGAGAUGUGCCCUGUGUUCUGCUCGCUCCUUGUGUACGGAUUGGAUUUUCUUGUCUGUAUUUACACUGUGAAGGAAUUGAUGGAAAAAAUGGAACCUUCUAAUUGCCUAAAGAGAAUCAAUAUGUGGCUUAUUAGGAGAUACUUAACACUGGUUGUAUCCUAUGAUGUUCGGAGAUCGUUUUUAUUUGAUAGAUGUUUCUAUUGCUCAGUUAAAAAAAAUCAUGUUUGAGACAUGCAGAAGUGUGGAGAACUAAUUCACACUGUUAUAAAAUAGUUAUGUAAAUGAGAUGUGGAGGAAUCAUUUAUCUGAAAGAUUACAUGGGAAUAACAUCAAUCACCAGGAUCAGAUAAUGAAGCCCUAUUCCUUCAUAGUAAAUAUGGUGCUCUGGCCCUGAUGUUUGAAUACAGAGGAGGGGAUUUACCAGCUUCCUGUCGGAAUUUUGCAUCUGCUGUAAAUAGAUAUCACAAACACUGUUUUGCAGUCAGAUUUGCCAUAGUGCAGCAUGGGAAAAUGAUUGGCUUUGCUAGCAAAGUUUUGUGAGCUGAGAUGUGAAGGUCAAAACAAUUAGAAAAUAUUUAAAAAAUGAUUCAAAAUAAGAUAAAUUCAAGCAUUUUUUUUUUAAAUGUAACAUAAUAUCUGUAAUAUGAAAUAAUUACCUGAGGCAUCAACUUAUAGGGACCCUGAAAAACAACGGCAUAGUUGGUAAGGAAGUUACAUUUGGAGUAUAUUUGGGAACGACCUGCGAAAGGGCUUUGCCUUGUGAAACCGCCCAUUCAUUUUCUCCAGCAUCUCUGAGGUGCCCAGGAGCUCUGCCUCUUCCCUUCCCUUGUCCACACGCACUUUGCUGCCCCUGCAGCGGAGAUUUUUGGGCCUCGCAGUUGUGCCAAGAUACGCACCGCGAAGCAGUGUGAUGUAUGCACACACACAGGGCUUGGAGGCUGAGCUUUGGUCACAGGGAGAGCUUUUGCACAGCUGUAUGCAUUACUUUUGGUUGCCCUUCGGCAGCAGAAGCAGUAAUGCUGCUGUUAUCCUGCCAGCUGCCAUCACCGAGGCUGCAAUUUUUCAACUUCUUUUAACUUUGAUUUUGGUACAAGCAAUAUCAGCCGCUUAGGAGUACAAAAUGCAGCAUUAGUUUAAAUUGAGGGACUAGAUAUACAGUCUUAGAGACAUCAUUUAUGCAACUAAAAUCUGUUAUGAAGAUUGGUAGAAGGAAGAUUAUAUGAACAAAAAUGAGCAUUUCUAAAACAGUGAUGGAAACUUGGUGAGUUUAUCUUUGCACUGUUGCACUGCCUGUUUCUGAAGGACGCCUUAUCCAGGCCAAGGGAAAAAGUCGUGUUACACUUCCACUCUUCACUGAACAUAAUGGGAUGGACAAAGCCUGGGGCCUUACCUUCUUCUCACCUCAGCCCAUCCAUCUUCUCCAACAGGUCCAAGCACACCCAGCUCGGUUCCUGGCAGGCCAGGGUAGGGCUGGCUGGGGCUGUGACACAGCCUGGGCUGCAGUGGUGACCCUGCCACAGGGACAGACCUUAGCACCUGGGAGACCUCAACUGCCACCCCGGGCUGCCAGGAAACGUGCUCCCAAGGGUGAGAAAUGGGACUAUUGUGUGUAAACAUCACGGGAUGGGCAACAAACCCCAACAAAACAUGGAAGGAAUAGACGAAGCAGUAAUGGCAUAGGCAGUGAAUGUGGUGUCUGAGUGAUUCAUUACAUGUCUGCCCUAGAGCAGCACUGGCACAUAUCCUUCAGAGAGAUUUAAAUGCAAGAUUAGGUUAGAUUGCAGUUUUUGAUUUUGUAUAUUUUGAGGGGGGAAAAAAAACACCACCUUUAAUUUUGUGUCAUUAUAGCAGAAUAAUUGGUUUAAUUAGUUAAACCUUUCCAACUGCAUGGAGAAGGAAAUUGCAUGAUUUUUCAUUUAUUACCAUGCCCUGUUGUUAUGAUAGUCUGAGUGCUGAGAAGACACUCCUCGGAGAUUGUUCUUUUGAUUUUAAUGCAAAGAUAUUUUUUCAUGUCAAAAGCCCAGCAAUGAAGAGUAAUUCUCCAUAGCAAGUAGCUGUGCGGGUCUGAUUUACACUGCAGACUGCUGCUUAUGUAAAGCAAGGAAGAUGAUAUAAAUUGAAGGUAAUAGGGUAGAGUGCGGAAUGAAAGAUCCUGUUUCAUACUCAGCACCUUCCUCCUGCUGGACUAACGAGUCUGCUUCUGUCUGUGGCUCCUCUGCAAAACGAUCCCUGGAUGUCAGCUGGGAGAGCUGCUCCGAUGGCCACACACUGAAAAGCACGGAGGUGUUUGACCUCUGGGGCCCUCGGAGCACUGCUAACAAGCAGCCUAUAAAAGUGUUCCUUUCUUCAUGGAUAGGCUAGGAGAAUUUGUCUGAGAUCUGAGGUGCUUGCCUUGGAGACCAACAAUAGACUUCCUCUUUUCCCACUGUAUAAAUAGUCUAAAAUGAAGUUGUUAGAGCUACAGGCAGACACGUGUUCUUCUUCACUCUUUUUUUUUUUCCUUCAUUCUUUUUUAAAGGUUGGUGAAGUUAAAUGUUUGAACUUUCAGAUAUCUUCCAAAAUACAGACUUUAGUUUUUAAAUAAAUAUGUGAUACAUCUCUAGGAAGAAUAGUAUCCUUCUGUUGGCCAAGUGCUGCAGAUGCCCCAGCUGGUCGGCAUCGAAAGGCACAGCCUGCUCUGAUCUGCUGCCCAGAGCCUCAGUGACUCCGUGCCCUGCCAGGGCAGGCAGCUGGGCACAGCGAUGUGCUGGGACAUGGGAGUGCAACACAUCAGGUUUGGUGUGCUGGCUCCAGCCAGUGUUUGGAAGAGGGGUUUUUGGCACCACGUUUUGCACGGCCACCUAGUGCCCAUAAGCAGCACCUGUGCUGCUUUGCUUUGCCGGGGGGUUGCUUAUGUUUAAUGGAUUGCUUUGUGGUUAAUAGAUAUUUCCCAUACUGUAUCUAUUAGGGGAUGAAGGAGUUUCACACAGAAAUGUUUAUUUCAUGAAGAAAUCAUCCAUCCAAAAGGUGGCACCCCAUUAUUACCUCAAAGUGCAGUAUUUACGUAAAGCUUCUGCUGUUCUGUUAGGGUCCCACGGGGCACCCUGCUUGGGUCAGCAAGGAUUUUGUGUGUUUUAUGAGCAAGAAAAAUGACUAAGAAUGGGAGAUAGUUUUGCCGUCAUGAAAAUCCAUCGCAGCAUCAUAAUCAAAACCCGAAGCCAGCUGCCUCCUCUCCCCUGGCCUCUGGGAUUUGCUGCCUGCCCUGUCAGAAUCAGAACACCCGACUCACUUACUGUGAAUGCUGGAAUCACUUCUUACAGCUUUUAGCCGUAUCAGACUUAUUGAUAACUUUCUGCUCUUCAGUUCUAUUAUUUAUGGCAAGCAGUGUGCCCUGCUGUAAAAACAAGCAUAAAAACAGCCAGGACGUGGUCCGGCUUGCGGUGUUUUGCAAAUACAGAUGAGGUAAGAAGAAUCAUAAAAGCUUCUGAGGCCUGUUGCUUUUUCCCCUUUGAAUCCAUCUGUCAUAAAAUUUCAUAGAAGAAGGGAUAUGUUGCAAACACAGAGGUAAAGAUAAUGCACUCUUUGCUGCUGCUGUUUGUGAGAUCUCUGACAUUCCAGCAAUAAAUUCAGGUCUUGUGGUCAUUAUGGAAGAAGGUUCUUCUUUUAACCAGCUUGUAUGUUGAGCAGAGUAUUUGAUAGAUCCUCCUCUUUCAGGGAAUGCAGAAAGGCACUAUGAGCUAUGCAGGGAAAGACAGAGAGGCAAGUGCCCUGAAUGUUAGGAAGGCUGUAGGCAAAGCAAAGCAGGGAAAUCACAUCACACCGGUGUGCACCUCGUGCUUAGCAUGAGCUGAAACCAAACUGGCAGAAACAAGUCAUGUAGAAAGUUUUUUUACACUCUGAUGAGUGUGAAAACAUAGCAAACCUAUUUCUCUUGUUGUGUUUAACCGUUAAAGGAAUCUGUCACACUGCUGCUCGAUGUGUGUGUGAUAUCUUUCCCAAUAGAUGGGUGCAGGAUGAUGUUUGUUGAUCACACACGUAAUGGUGCCAUGCAAACAGGGAUGCAGCACUGUUUUCCUUUGGAAAUCCGCUGUUGCUUUUGCUGCUCCUGAUUUUCCAGCAAGAAGUUAACAGUGCAAUGUACUCACAGCUAGAGAGUGUUUUGAGAACCUAAGUGUGGCUGAAGCAUAAUUCCUUAUGAAGGAGGAUCAGUGCUGUGUCAGCAGGCUUCCUGCCCAUCGCGGCGCAUCGUGCCCAUGGAUGCUGCUGCCGUGGCUGAGAAGUGCCACAGGAAAAGGAUUCUUUCUCUCAGGAUGGAGGACUAUUUCAAAGCACCCAAAUCCCUGGUGCUGUGCACACAGAUAGCAAACAAAGCGAUACAGUCAUUCUUCACGACUCGAUGCUGAAGUUUAGGUGAAUAAUGGAAAGGUUGGCAGAGUGCUCUGAUGUGAUGAGUUACAGUAAUACAGCCGUACCAUUGCGAAGAUAACGAAUGCAAAAAAAAAGCCAAACCAGAGAAUAUAUUAACUGCUGCUGCUGUGACUGUAGGAAUGAACACAGCCCUGCAUGGCACUCACUGGGAGGGCUGUAGGCUCCGUUGAUGGCCCUGCAUCCAGUGCUGGGCCAUGGCAGCAGUUCUGCUUUUCUGUUUCUUCUUGUAGUUUUUAAGUGAGUCCUAGAAAAUAGCUGAAGCAAUAUGGAAAGAGAGAAAGACUGAAAUAAACAUCGAUUUUUAUGGUGUAAUAAUUUAUGGCACCAACUUAAUAAGUGGUGCGACACGAACAGUUCACCAUCCAUUUAUCAUGUGUUGAUAGUUUUUGAUAUGUGAAUUUUUAACACCACCUCUCCCUUUGAUAUAAUAAAGGACCUGCCAACAUUCCCAUUAAAAAUGUUAGAGUUUAGGACUUCCUGCUCUGGCUAUCAAUAGCAGUAUAUGUAACCUAUGAAUUAAUAUGCAGAAUAGCAAUAAGCAAUGAUUUAUUCCAGCAGCUAUAAAAAACAAAAAUAAAAAAAGACUUUGACAUUUCUGAACUUCAGGAGGACAUCCUCUUCCUUCCAGAAGAAAAGGCUCAUGAGCCCUUCUCAUUACAUCCACCAUAAAAGGUUUACAAACGAAGAGAGGACUCCUGAACUUUAAUAAAUCGGCUUAAUUCCUUAGAUAACAAUAAGGAGACAGCAAUUUACAUUAAAAUGUUCUGAUGAGAGUUGUCUUGAGCUGCAGUUUGCUGGCAUAACAUCUUCAGGCUAAUCACAUAUAUUUUCAGUAGCUACAGUGUGGUUAAAGUCAGGGAAAUGAAUGUACAAAAAUAGCAUCUGAGAGCCCAUGUUUGUUCUCAGCCGUUCCAUCUCAAGGACUCCCCAGACCGUUUUGGCCAGCAUAGAGGUCACAUCUGAGUCUGGUGACUGCAAGUCUUUCAACUGGGCUUCAGAUAAUAGCGUACAGUCAAAUUAUUUCUGCUUCUCACGUCACCUUUGUCUGAAUAAUAAUAAUAAAAAAACACACAACAAAACAGCUAUGAAACAGAACAAAAAAAUCUGACAUUCCCUAGCUGUCUGACUUCACCACGCCAUCUGCAAGCAGCCCAGCCUGACAGUGAAAUCAUGCGUACAUGUUUCAAAUAGUUAUGAUAGAUGUCAAGGUUGCCUGUACUUGCUUUAUUUAGUGAAAGCCACUUUAAAUAAGGCAGGGGCUAAUAAUUUCCAGCAUAUGGCUGUUUUAGCUAACGAGCUUUUGGAAUACUGGAACUUCUUCAGAAUAUGUCUGGGCUCACAGUCCUGUGAGCUCCUUGCUUGGGGUUAGGUCCUACUGUCAGUGAGCAGUUGUGUGCUUCUUUACUGUUCUGCCUUAUGGCCCGAGGGAGCAUGUGGAGGCAAGGGUGUUUUCAUUAAAUGCCUUCUCAAUACUUUUAAGCUGUAGUGCUUGUUCUAAUAAAAAUGCCUAUGGGAGAAUUUACAACCUGUGCUUCCACUGACAGCUACAAGACGGUCAUUAAGCCGUGCAUCGGGAGCACAGAGCACCUGGCAGCAAAAAGGCUGCAUCAGCCAUCGCUUCAUCACACAGCUGGGUGGUGCCAGGGCUGGGCCUUCGCAUGGCUAUUCGGGGAGCUCUGCUGUACAGCCAUUUAACUGACUGGUUCAGAGAGCAGUCUGCUCUGAAUGAAUUGUCCAGCUUCUAAGCCUGAAAGCUGCAGCCUCCCCUCCAUGCUUUCCAGAAUGCACGUGAAGACCUCUGCUGACCGAAGACUCAGAAAUGGUCUCACCUUCCUGUCACGCUGGCUUAAGAAGUCGUAAAAAGACAGACAUGGAGAAGAUAAUUUCUGAAUAAUAGGCUUAGGACCGUGCCCCAUGUCAGAAACCUUUGGAAGUACUCCAGAAAUACUGAAAUGUGACUGUCCAGUUAAAUACGAGCAGAUGCAUAAGGAAAGAAAGCGAGCUCUCUCCAAGAUCUAUGUUCAGUAAUAAGAUAUUUUUACUUAACAAAGUCUCUACCAGAUGGCGUUUCUAAAUUUUGAAUAUUAGGUCUGGUUGCGAAUGAGGCCUCCACAGGGUUUGAUGUACCGUGGAUGAGAUGCUGCAUUUAAGCUGUGGGUAAGGGCUCGUGUGCUGCUCCUCCUGUUUGCAGCGAGGCAGCAGUGACAGAGCUGGCAUCAGCGCCGUGACACCAUCGUGCCAGCAGCCUCCCAGGCCCACCCAUCCCAUGGGAGUGGCUCCUCCAAAAGCAUGUCUGAGUGAUACCUGGGAGACACGGGCUCUUCUGAAAACUCAGCUGUUCAUCGUAUGCUUUCUGAGAUGUAUCUUCAUAUAUCGGACUGCUUUCUUAGUCAUCGCAGGAUGCAACUACGAAAGCCUGCGCUCAGCACUGCCACCUUCACCAGCCAAUUUUCUUGAUGAAAAGAAACUCAUCAGUUUGAAAGAACGUUUCCUGUGAAUUCAUGUUGCCUUGGCAUUAAGAAGCAGCACUGAUGCCAUUCACCAAACAAGCCUUUAUCAGCAGCCUCGUGGUUCCCUGGGGACAGAAGACUGGAGACAACACCGAGUUCCCAAACCCUACAACACGGCACUGAUUUGUGCUUGUUUGCUCAGUGGUCACCUUGCUAAAGCAUUCAAACCUUCUGGUUGCCCUUUGUAAACAGGCUUUCCUGCCUUUUGUAAAUGCUGACCGUGGCUUUGUCCUGACCCUGGAGACCUUUUCCAGUCCAGCUCCUCGUUCAGCCACGUCACGGACACGAAACAACUACAGACUGCAUCUUAACAGUGUAACCCCUCUUCUCCAUAACAGAAGUAAAGUGGGGAUUGCUGACCUGGAAAUGCGGGCAGUCUGGUGGCCACACACAGAACUCAGGAGAGCAGUUCUGGGGAAACAUUAGCCAGGGAAAGAGAAAGAAGAGAAACUGUAGUUAGGAACUUCAGAUGAGUUUGAAUCACAUUUACAUGCUUUUCUAUUUCUCAUAUGUUUGCAAGUUUUACUGCCGUGGUCUCCCAGAGCGGUGUGAAUUAGCAGGUAUGUUAUUCCUAUGCAGAAGAUGAACUGUGCCGGGAAGGAAGAAGAUUGCUCCCCAGGGCCCUACCCAGGAAAGCUGCAGAAAGCUGGGAAGUGAAUGCAGGUCCCAGGGACCCCGAAUGGCCCCGCCACGUACUGCCUGAUGGGCUGGGAGCUGCGAGCUCAGCUCAAGUUUUAAAGCUCAAUUCACAUGAUGUAUGCUGACUGAAACAGGUCCCUUUUAGACAAAACGCUCCCUGCCUCUCACAGCCAUCCAGCAGCUUUGCAGCUCUCUCUGCAUUGCUUCCAAUUCUUGCCAAGUGGGAGAAUUUGGGGCACUUUCAGGUUGAGAAUGAAAGUGAGAAAUCAUUGAACACCCAGAGCUCCAAUGGGAGUGGAAUUGACAGAAGGGCCCCAAACUGAUGGGGGUUUUAGGGUGGUUGGUUUUGCUGUUGGUUGUAACCUUUCUGUGAAUGCUUUUCUAGUUAUACAUUUCAGGAGAAGGCAAAGAUGAACUAAAUAAGGAAUUAUAGCUCUUGAAUGAGAAUUUCUUUCAUCCAUAAAAUGCAGAGUAUGUUGGCACAGUAAAGGUGGGACCACUGUCCUAAACUGUUCAGAUCUUUAGAUUUCCAGGCUCUGUUCCUUAGAAGUGAAAAAUAUCAUAAUUGUAUCAGUAUAGGCAUGGAAAAUGAACUUCAAAACACUUUGAUCUAGAGGAGCUGGGCUUAGUUCUGGUGGGAAUUAAGGAGAACUUUCAAGUAAUUUACGUUUGAAAUGGCUUCAUAGCUUUUGCUUCAUAAAAACAGAGAGAGAUAAAAUGAUAAUAAAAAUUCAUAUUUUGGAAAUGGACAUUCUUCUCUCUGGUAGUAAAAACUACAGGUAAUUUGCUCUAUUUCAAAAAGAUUGUUAGCAGUUACUGUGAUUUCCAGGGAUGUAGCUUUAAUGCUCAACGCAUCUUAAUCUUGCCGACUAUAAAACAUUCCUUGGAUGGUAAGUUGAUGAUCUAUGGG